ACCAAAAAAGAAUAGCCAGGAAAAAAAAAUCCAGGUUUUAAAAUCUGGAAUCUCAAGUUAUUAGAAUAUAGAUGGCUUUCCUGGGCAUGGUAAAGCUACCCAGGUGCAGGGAGAGGCCCCUGUGUUGCUACUUGAAAAAGGAAAAUUCAUUUGGUGUUUAUGCCUGUAUUCAGUACCCCCAGAGGUUUCAGUGGCUUAAUCAUGCACAUUAAAAUAAUUUAAUGGGAUUUCCUACUUGAUAAGUGAAGUUAAUUAGUCACCUACUACUCCCUGUUGGCUUGAGUUUUUUUUUUUUCCUGGUAAGUCUAAGAUGAAGUAACACAUUUCAGCUUUAAAUCCAUGCCUUCUCUUUCUCCAUCACCCU
rnacentral:lncRNA from 1 species